rnacentral:rRNA from 1 species
GACGAACGCUGGCGGCGUGCUUAACACAUGCAAGUCGAACGGAAAGGCCCUGCUUCUGCGGGGUGCUCGAGUGGCGAACGGGUGAGUAACAUGUGAGUAACCUGCCCUCGACUAUGGGAUAACUUUAGGAAACUGGGGCUAUUACCGGAUAGGAGCUCCUGCUGCAUGGUGGGGGUUGGAAAGUUUCGGCGGUUGGGGAUGGACUCGCGGCGUAUCAGCUUGUUGGUGGGGUAGUGGCUUACCAAGGCUUUGACGGGUAGCCGGCCUGAGAGGGUGACCGGCCAAAUUGGGACUGAGAUACGGCCCAGACUACUACGGGAGGCAGCAGUGGAGAAUAUUACACAAGGGGCGGAAGCCUGAUGCAGCAACGCCGCGUGCGGGAUGACGGCCUUCGGGUUGUAAACCGCUUUCGCCUGUGACGAAGCGUGAGUGACGGUAAUGGGUAAAGAAGCACCGGCUAACUACGUG